rnacentral:lncRNA from 1 species
UGUGGGCCUUGUUUGAAUGAUCAGUUCCUUAUUCUGUAUCGGGAUGUUUCUUUCAGUACGACCUUGAGCUGCACAAGGACAAGCACAGACCAAGGGAUGCUCUCUGGAUGAAGAUGCUCCAAGAGAAAAUGAAUACGCAGCAGAGGCAGAGGAAGACCCCCAGCCUCGGCUCUCAGCGGGACCUGGAGAGCCAGCGGAGAGAGUGUCUCCCAAAAGCCCCGAACAGUGUCUGCCGCGGAGGGGGCGUUUAAGCCGUGUCUUCAGAGGAAUUGAGCAACUGCACGACUAGAAAGCACUUAGUGUUUGAGGGCUUCCCUGGUGGCACAGACCUAAAGCAUCUGCCUACAAUGCUGGAGACCCAGGUUCAAUCCCUGGGUUGGGAAGAUCCCCUGGAGGAGGAAAUGGCAACCCACUCCAGUACUCUUGCCUGGAAAAUCCCAUGGAUGGAGGAGCCUGGUAGGCUACAGUAAAGAGUUAGACAUGACUGAGCGACUUCACUUUUCACUUUCAGUGUUUCU